AACCUUGUAGUGAAGUUCACGCCAAAUUGCAAGUUUGGAGAUUUACCUUUGUUGGUGCCGGGGUUU
rnacentral:tRNA from 1 species